CGCCCGUAGAGAUACUCGCUUCGGGGUUUGAUGUUCACACCGGCGCAGGUGAAAAUUAAUCCACUCUGGGUGGUACAUUCUCAGGAAUGAAACUCACUCGAAUUGAUUGGGGCCCACCCAAACGGUGGAGGAAGUGGGUUAAUUAAAUGAUACCCCAGGAACCAUCCCAACGCUUAGAUGCCUUAUGAUUGAUCCCGAAAUGGCUUUUUCUUCCGACCGAAUGCAUGGAGCUGCAUGGCUGUCGGCUGCCCGCGCCUUGAGGCGUUAGGUUAAGUCCUGAAUCCAGCGCAACCCCUAUCAUUAAUUUCCAGCAUUUAAAGACUGGGACUCUAAUGAUACUGCCAACGCCAGUUGAAAGCAAGGUGGGGACGACGUCGACUCAUCACGGUCCUUACCUCUUGGGCUACACACGUGCUACAAUGGUUGGGACAGAGGGCAGCUACUAUGUGAAUAUAUGCGAAUCUCAAAAACCAAUCUGAGUUCCCAUUGCAGACUGCAACUCGACUCUCUGAAGCUGGAAUCUCUAGUAAUCGCAAAUCACCAAUGUUGCGGUGAAUACGUUCCCGGGCCUUGUACACGCCGCCCGCCAAGCCAUGGAAGCUGGAGGUACCUGAACCUGGUGACCGUGAAACGAGCUACCUAAGGUAAAACUGGAAACUGGAGCUAAUUCCUAACAAG
rnacentral:rRNA from 1 species